GCGGUUGUGGCGGAAUUGGUAGACGCACUACCUUGAGGUGGUAGCGCUGGAAACGGCGUGAAGGUUCGAGUCCUUUCAACCGCA
rfam:Hyphomicrobium denitrificans 1NES1, complete genome.